UGAAAUUUUACCAUAAGGUUCAAUACCACAAAAGGAAGGUGGAGAUUGAUUUUGGGGGUUAUGGUACCAACAGUAAAGGAAUUAGGGGCCAAAAAGGGGCCAAAAAUAAGCAUUUUUGUAACUUCAAGACAUAACUUGUGUGUUAGUGUAUGGAUCUCUCUGACAUUGUACCACAAGGUUCCAUAUCACAAAGGGAAUGCUAGGAUUGAUUUUGGGGGUAAUUGCCUCCAAAUUUUAGGAAUUAGGGGCAAAAAAGGGGCAAAAAACAGGCAUUUUUUCUAGUUUCAUGACAAUAACUUGUGUGUAAGUGUAUGGAUCUCUCUGACAUUGUACCACAAGGUUCCAUAUCACAAAGGAAAUGCUGGGAUUGAUUUUGGGGGUAAUUGCCUCUAAAUUUUAGGAAUUAGGGGCCAAAAAGGGGCAAAAAACGCAUUUUUUCUAGUUUCAUGACAAUAACUUGUGUGUAAGUGUAUGGAUCUUUAUGAAAUUGUACUACAAGGUUCCAUAUCACAAAGGGAAAGCUGGAAUUGAGUUUGGGGGUAAUUGCCCAAAACGUUUAGGAAUAAGGGGCCAAAAAGGGGCAAAAAAAUAAGCAUUUUUCUAGUUUCAGGACAAGUACUUGUGUGUAGUAUAUGGAUCUUUAUGAAAUUGUACUGCAAGGUUCCAUAUCACAAAGGGAAAGCUGGGUUUGAGUUUGGGGGUAAUUGCCCUAAACGUUUAGGAAUUUGGGGUCAAAAAGGGGCCAAAAAACAAGCAUUUUUCUAGUUUCCAGACAAUAACUUGUGUUCAAGUGUAUGGAUCUCUCUGAAAUUGUACUGCAAGGUACCAUACCAAAAAGGGAAGGCUGGGAUUGAGUUUGGGGGUGAUGAAUCAUAAGGGGGUUCAAAAAAUUUGGGGGGGGGAUUUUUUUUUCCUUUUUUUUCUUUAAAAUUUUCCAUUUUAAAUUGGUUAUUUCUGAUUUAUAUAUAAAAGCAAAUAAGAAUGAUAUGGUUUGAAUAGGUAAAUUAAAAAUUUUAAGUUCUUAGUCCACAUUCAUUCUGUGUCAGAAACCUAUGC